UACAGGGGGUGCAAACGUUGCUCGGAAUUAUUGGGCGUAAAGCGCGCGUAGGCGGCUACUUAAGUCGGAUGUGAAAGCCCCUGGCUCAACUGGGGAAGUGCACCCGAAACUGAGUAGCUAGAGUGCAAAAGAGGGUCGCGGAAUUCCCGGUGUAGAGGUGAAAUUCGUAGAUAUCGGGAGGAACACCGGUGGCGAAGGCGGCGACCUGGGUCGACACUGACGCUGAGGCGCGAAAGCGUGGGGAGCAAACAGG
rnacentral:rRNA from 1 species